GAUUGAAGGAGUUUCGAAGGUGACGGUCCGCUAAGCUCACACUGCACUGAAGUGGUUGACUCCGAAGCUGAGAGAGCUGGAAGGAAGCCGGCAGGAGCAGCUGCAGGGCGGCGUGCGGAUGUGCUGAAUGUGUAAACCGUGUCUUUGCUUAAAAAUGAGCCAACCCAGACACUCUGGCUUCAAAGUACUCAACCUCAAACAGCCGCAGGAAGCAGUCUGCAGGGGCCCCCGACCAGACCAGCCGGGGGGCACAGGGCCUGCUCCCCAGGUGGCGGGAGGCUGCGGGCAGGAACGCAACACGGAGCUUGCGGGGGGGCAGGGGGCAGGGGGCUUGGCCUGCACUGAGCCAGAGGCUGGAGAGAAAAUAACGAGGCAGGGAAUGGGGAGGAGGAGUGUGCUCGCGGAUCUAGCAGCCAAGGAAGCGUGAGGCCUAGUACCCACCGAAGUGCCACUCCGGGCCCUGGGGCGUCACCAUGAGCACACAGAACAGUCAGCCUUCUAGCUCCGGUGAAGCUCCACUCUUAAGGCAGAGGCCACAGGUGAGCCUGCCAAGGACACAGUGGACCAAUUUCGAAGGACACAGGUGCCCAGAGAGUACUAGACAAGGCCCAGGGCACGGACGUGCUGGGGUUGGGGGAGUUGCUGCUGGGAAAGGAUGCCAGGGCAGGACUCUCUUACCAUGUCAGAGCUGGGCAGCGACGUGGGCAGCGUGAGGGUGCCUGCUUGGACACUGAGGAGGGCGCCGAGUGAAAGGGAAAAGCCUGUGUCCUCCCAGACCUGCACACAGAAGCACGCGGAUGGGUACUAAACUGGGCACAGCAUCUGGGCAAUGGCCUGCGAGUCAGAGCUAAAAGGAAGCAAGCCAUCAAGAAAGGAUCUGGAGGAAGCUCGAUCCUGCCGCUGUGCCAAGGAAGCCAGGCUGGAAGGCUGGGUACCAUGUGAGUCCCCACGUGCACAACCUGAAAAGGCAGAACUGUGGAGACAGUGGAGGGAAGCCCCAACAAAUGGAUGCCCUUACUUCCCAGUUCAGACACCCACAUGGUGCUGGCUUCUUGGGACCCCCUCAGGCCUCAGGUGGGGGUGCUGCAAAGGAGACCCAGCCCAACACAAGCCUGGCAUAGAGGCAGCAUUCAAUUAUUACUUCACAGUCCCUCAUCCACCAGGCAGAUGGUUUACUUCAGCUUCCUGGAUAACUGGCAGGGCGCUGCAGGGCCCUUACCUAGCCCAGCGCCUUUUUGCAGAGACGGCAGCCAGCGCUGGCUGACUUCCAGGCUCUCAGAACGGCCCAAACUGAGCCAGCACUGGGUAUAUGAGGCCUCGUACUGGAGACACAAAGCCAAGCCAAAGGAAAGAUUUUCAGUUGCUAGAAGAAAGCAGAACUUUUACGUGGGAAGGCAUGGGAACCUAUUCCUACAACAGGGAGGGAACAAUGAAGAAAAUUUGAGAACCGAGAACACGUGGAGCUCAACUGACCAUUCUACUUGGAGGAUCUUAACUGGAAGGGAGAAUCUUUGGACGAAGUUUCUCUUUUUAAUUGCAUAUAUUUAUAUUCUGUACCAGAAUGGAAUAAAAUUGAGACAUGAUGAGUUUGGCAAAACAUUCAAACGAGUCAUAAAUAGAGAUUUCAUGUCGGAUGCUUUUUUAUCUUGUAGCAACUCUUACCAAAGAAAGGCACUCUGGAAGGGAGCAAAAGACUGUGCAUA